rnacentral:rRNA from 1 species
GACGAACGCUGGCGGCGUGCUUAACACAUGCAAGUCGAACGUGAUUUUUGUGGAAAUUCUUUCGGGAAUGGAAGCGAAAUGAAAGUGGCGAACGGGUGAGUAACACGUGAGCAACCUACCUUACACAGAGGGAUAGCCGUUGGAAACGACGAUUAAUACCGCAUGAGACCACAGAAUCGCAUGAUAUAGGGGUCAAAGAUUUAUCGGUGUAAGAAGGGCUCGCGUCUGAUUAGCUAGUUGGAAGGGUAAAGGCCUACCAAGGCGACGAUCAGUAGCCGGUCUGAGAGGAUGAACGGCCACAUUGGAACUGAGACACGGUCCAAACUCCUACGGGAGGCAGCAGUGGGGAAUAUUGCACAAUGGGGGGAACCCUGAUGCAGCGACGCCGCGUGAGCGAAGAAGGUUUUCGAAUCGUAAAGCUCUGUCCUAUGAGAAGAUAAUGACGGUAUCAUAGGAGGAAGCCCCGGCUAAAUACGUGCCAGCAGCCGCGGUAAUACGUAUGGGGCGAGCGUUGUCCGGAAUUAUUGGGCGUAAAGGGUACGUAGGCGGUUUUUUAAGUCAGGUGUGAAAGCGUGAGGCUUAACCUCAUUAAGCACUUGAAACUGGAAGACUUGAGUGAAGGAGAGGAAAGUGGGAAUUCCUAGUUGAGCGGUGAAAUGCUGUAGAUAUUUGUGAGGAAUACCCGGUGUGCGAAAGCGACUUUCUGGACUGUUAACUGACGCCUGAGGUACAAAAGCGUGGGCAGUACACAUG